GACGAACGCUGGCGGCGUGCUUAACACAUGCAAGUCGAGCGGUAAGGCCCUUUCGGGGGUACACGAGCGGCGAACGGGUGAGUAACACGUGGGUGACCUGCCCUCAGCUCUGGGAUAAGCCUGGGAAACCGGGUCUAAUACUGGAUAUGACUCCAUGACGCAUGUUGUGGGGUGGAAAGUUUUUCGGCUGGGGAUGGGCCCGCGGCCUAUCAGCUUGUUGGUGGGGUGAUGGCCUACCAAGGCGACGACGGGUAGCCGGCCUGAGAGGACGACCAGCCACACCGGAACUGAGACACGGUCCGGACUCCUACGGGAGGCAGCAGUGGGGAAUAUUGGACAAUGGGGGCAACCCUGAUCCAGCGACGCCGCGUGGGUGAAGAAGGCCUGCGGGUUGUAAAGCCCUUUCGGUGGGGAAGAAAAGUCUCGACCUAAUACGUCGGGACCUUGACGUAACCCACUAAGAAGCACCGGCUAACUCUGUGCC
rnacentral:rRNA from 1 species